GAGUUUGAACCUGGCUCAGGAUGAACGCUGGCGGCGUGCCUAACACAUGCAAGUCGAACGAAGCAUCCCUUCCGAUGAAUGGACCAGCUUGCUGGGAAAGGAAUCAAUUGGGAUGACUGAGUGGCGGACGGGUGAGUAACGCGUGGGUAACCUGCCCCAUAGAGGGGGACAACAGCUGGAAACGGCUGCUAAUACCGCAUAGCAGGAAAGAGACGCAUGUCUUUUUCUUCAAAGAUUUAUCGCUAUGGGAUGGACCCGCGUCUGAUUAGCUAGUUGGUAAGGUAACGGCCUACCAAGGCGACGAUCAGUAGCCGGCUUGAGAGAGUGGACGGCCACAUUGGGACUGAGACACGGCCCAGACUCCUACGGGAGGCAGCAGUGGGGAAUAUUGCACAAUGGGGGAAACCCUGAUGCAGCGACGCCGCGUGAGUGAAGAAGUAUUUCGGUAUGUAAAGCUCUAUCAGCAGGGAAGAUAAUGACGGUACCUGACUAAGAAGCCCCGGCUAAC
rnacentral:rRNA from 1 species